rnacentral:misc_RNA from 1 species
CAGCCUCCCUCCUGUGGUGAGUGUGAGCACCAACGUGGCGGUGCUGACACCGCCUUCGGCGCGCUAUGCCCUCACCACGGGCGAGCUGGCGGAGUGCUUUCUCAGCGCACGACGCAGCAGCAUCCACACACAGCCGCCGCCUUCAGACGCCAAGGCAAUACAAAAGGCGCAGGAGCGCCUCGACUCCUUCCACUCUUCCCAGAUCAACCCGUUCCUCUACGGCUACAUGUACCCGGACCAGGACAUUCCUGAGUCAGUGCUGAGCAGCAUUCGAAAACUUUGCGUCAACGCUAGCGGUGCCUGGGCGGCGCGGUGCCAGCGACUCGCCUUUGACGUGCUCACAACGGAGCUGCAGGCGAAGGCGUCCAACGUUAUUCCGCGCACAAACCACGACGACCCGAUCGGACUGGCGCAGCUGCGCCGUGUACUGCCCACGCUCAAGUACGUGCCGAAAAUGAGCGUGACGAACCCGCACUCUCGGUUUGUGGGCAACUGCGUCGACGACAUCGCUGAGAACGCGCAGGCGUUCACUGCGACGGUCACCGUGCAGAACAACGGCUCGCAUCCUUUCACGGUCUCGAUCGCGCAGACGCAGACUGUCAUUGACGGCGUGCGGGCGGAAGACAAGUUCAUGGAGGCGAAGCUGGAGAAGGCGGAGCUGCACCGUGGGGAGUCCGUGGACGUGCGCCUUGUUAUGCAACAGCCCCCGCACGCUGUGUUGUGGGAGUAUGAGCAGGUGUUGGUGCUCUCCGUGAACGGCAUCCUCAAGUACUUUGUGACCUUCGCGGUCAUUUCGCCGAAGCAGGACCUGUUCAAGCAGUGUCUACCAGGGUGCCUUCCACUGACGGUGCUGGAGUCCCCCCUCGGGGAGUACACUGCCCCUCUCAUGCUGCAGGUGUUGAAGCACGCGUUCAUUCGGCAGCAGGGGUACACCAGCCCCGCCGUCGUGCAUCUGCUUCUUGGCAAGGCCGUCAACUACCGUACCCACAAUGAACUCGUCAUGUCAGAGACGAUGCGCCUGACGAAGGCGCUGAGCGAUCAGAUGAACAUGGCCGCGACAAUCUCCAGCUAUUGGGCCUCGCUGCCAGACGCCAAGAAGGCGCCGCUUUCGCGCCAGUACCAGCCGCCGGUGUCCUCUGCACAGCCAGCGCGCUACGCCCCAGGCUCAGAUAAGCUGGGCUCAUCCAACGUCGCUACUGCCGAGGCCCUCUUCCCCAACAGCGCGACGCGCUUGCCAGAGGUGCUGCAGCGGUCACCGCCAGCGGUCAUCAUGGGGGCCAUCCUCAUCUGGCUGGCGCAGAUGGACAUCGCGGUCUUCGACUCGUCCUUCUUCAACUGCGACCCCGUCGGAUACAUGCAGGGCAUGCCGCCGUACCUUCGCGGCAUCCUGCUCUGGAUACUUGACCUGUGCUGCGGCCUUCUGGUGAACCAGGAGGUGAAUGGGGUGAACGAGCGGGUGCUGGCCUUGACGUUUGCGGCUGUACUCAUGCGGCGCAAUGUUCCGCAGUACAACGUAGAGGAGACAGAGGCUUUCUCUGACGCGCAAGCUGUCUUUGGCUCCCCUAACAGUGGUGGCGGUGCUGGUGGCAGCGGCAGCACAGCCACUACCGUAUCCUUCUCCACGGAGGUAGCCUUUCAUCAGAACGCCGUGACUGCGAUACUACACUGGAUUUCCAUCUACCGCGUCAAGUAUGCGAAGAAGAUGAAGUAGCAGAGGAGGGAACAGAGCGUCGUGGGGGUGGGGCGCGGGGGUGACCGCGAGGCGGUGAGACGGUGAAGGUGGCGAUGGGGCUCGCGGUUACAGCUCUGUGGGGGAGGACACCUGCUCUCCGGGCUGAGUUUCUGACAAUGCAGUGCGUAACAACGCAUGUGUGUGGACACAGCUGGUUCAGGACGUACGUGCCCUCUCCUCGAUCCUCUCCCGUUCAUGGCUCCCUUUUCUCCUUUCUCUUCUGCCUUUGCUUCCACAACUAUCAUCAGGAGCAACACCAACGGUUUGACGGGCAUGUAGGAAGCGCAUAGGGGAAAGGUGACGUACAUCGUUGGAGGAGAUAUGGGCGUGUCUUCUCAGGCCUGUGUAUAUCGUUGGAGUUCUCUUGCUCUCUUGCUUCCCUUGUGACCUUUCAUCAUCUCCACUCUUUAUCG